rnacentral:rRNA from 1 species
GUCCACGCCUUAAACGAUGUCAACUAGCCGUUGGGUUCCUUGAGAACUUAGUGGCGCAGCUAACGCAUUAAGUUGACCGCCUGGGGAGUACGGCCGCAAGGUUAAAACUCAAAUGAAUUGACGGGGGCCCGCACAAGCGGUGGAGCAUGUGGUUUAAUUCGAAGCAACGCGAAGAACCUUACCAGGCCUUGACAUGCAGAGAACUUUUCCAGAGAUGGGAUUGGUGCCUUCGGGAACUCUGACACAGUGCUGCAUGGCUGUCGU